rnacentral:rRNA from 1 species
UGGGGAAUAUUGCACAAUGGAGGGAACUCUGAUGCAGCGACGCCGCGUGAACGAAGAAGGCUUUCGAGUCGUAAAGUUCUUUUAUAUGGGAAGAUAAUGACGGUACCAUAAGAAAAAGCCCCGGCUAACUACGUGCCAGCAGCCGCGGUAAUACUUAGGGGGCUAGCGUUGUCCGGAAUCACUGGGCGUAAAGGGUUCGCAGGCGGAAAUGCAAGUCAGGUGUAAAAGGCAGUAGCUUAACUACUGUAAGCAUUUGAAACUGCAUAUCUUGAGAAGAGUAGAGGUAAGUGGAAUUUUUAGUGUAGCGGUGAAAUGCGUAGAUAUUAAAAAGAAUACCGGUGGCGAAGGCGGCUUACUGGGCUCAUUCUGACGCUGAGGAACGAAAGCGUGGGUAGCAAACAGG